AUUGAACGCUGGCGGCAGGCCUAACACAUGCAAGUCGAGCGGCUGCAGGGAGCUUGCUCCUGGAUUCAGCGGCGGACGGGUGAGUAAUGCCUAGGAAUCUGCCUGGUAGUGGGGGAUAACGUCCGGAAACGGGCGCUAAUACCGCAUACGUCCUGAGGGAGAAAGUGGGGGAUCUUCGGACCUCACGCUAUCAGAUGAGCCUAGGUCGGAUUAGCUAGUUGGUGGGGUAAAGGCCUACCAAGGCGACGAUCCGUAACUGGUCUGAGAGGAUGAUCAGUCACACCGGAACUGAGACACGGUCCAGACUCCUACGGGAGGCAGCAGUGGGGAAUAUUGGACAAUGGGCGAAAGCCUGAUCCAGCCAUGCCGCGUGUGUGAAGAAGGUCUUCGGAUUGUAAAGCACUUUAAGUUGGGAGGAAAGGCAGUAAGUUAAUACCUCGCUGUGUUGACGGUACCAACAGAAUAAGCACCGGCUAACUUCGUG
rnacentral:rRNA from 1 species